UGGGUUAAGUCCCGCAACGAGCGCAACCCUUGUCUUCUGUUGCCAUCGGGUCAAGCCGGGCACUCUGAAGAGACUGCCGGUGACAAACCGGAGGAAGGUGGGGAUGACGUCAAGUCAGCAUGGCCUUUAUGUCUGGGGCCACACACGUGCUACAAUGGCCGGUACAAACCGUCGCGAGCCCGCGAGGGGGAGCUAAUCGGAGAAAGCCGGUCUCAGUUCGGAUUGUAGGCUGCAAAAGCGCCUGCAUGAAGUUGGAAUCGCUAGUAAUCGCGGAUCAGCACGCCGCGGUGAAUACGUUCCCGGGCCUUGUACACACCGCCCGUCACAUCACGAAAGCUGGCUGUA
rnacentral:rRNA from 1 species